AGAGUUUGAUCCUGGCUCAGAAUCAACGCUGGCGGCGCGCUUAACACAUGCAAGUCGCACGAGAAAGUGGAGCAAUCCAUGAGUACAGUGGCGUACGGGUGAGUAACACGUGGAUUAUCUACCUUCUAGUGGGGAAUACCUCCGGGAAACUGGAGACAAUACCGCAUAAGCUCGUAAGAGGAAAGCAGCAAUGCGCUGGAAGAGGAGUCCGCGGCUGAUUAGCUAGUUGGCGGGGUAAUGGCCCACCAAGGCGAAGAUCGGUAGCCGGCCUGAGAGGGCACACGGCCACACUGGCACUGAAACACGGGCCAGACUCCUACGGGAGGCAGCAGUGGGGAAUCUUGCACAAUGGAGGAAACUCUGAUGCAGCGACGCCGCGUGAGCGAUGAAGCCCUUCGGGGUGUAAAGCUCUUUCGACGGGAACGAUAAUGACGUACCCGAAGAAG
rnacentral:rRNA from 1 species